rnacentral:antisense_RNA from 1 species
CUUCAACGAUCCCAGCCACAGUGGACGGUCCGCCGCACGACCCCGACCGUACGUCGCCAGCAACGCCUGCGCCUC